rnacentral:lncRNA from 10 species
GGUUCUGCCAUGGACAAGCUGAAGUCUCUCUGAGACCAGGGGACCCGCAUGGCCCAGCCACCCCACCCCACCAUCUCCCAGGCAUGUGAGAAAAUAUCACAUUCUCUGUGUUUUGGAGAUUUCUUCUAAAUGUAUUUUCCAACUAUCAUUUCAUAGCAAAUCAGCGAGAAAAAAGGUAUAAUAUUAGGCAGAAACCCAAUAUAAAAAGAAAAGCAGAGUUGUUGUAGAUUCAUCGAGGGUUGGCGACCUGGUUCCAAUGAGCCAUCUCCCUGUUCCGACAGGGGCUUCCUGGAGCUCCUGCAACCCCAGGCAUUAGUUCCGGUGCAGUUCUAGGAUCAGAUCAAUUCACUCGACAACAAGAGAAACAAAUGGAGAUUCCUACACAAAGACUUUCAAGCACAAAGAAAUCCUGCUGCCUGUAAAGCGGAGCUGCCUCAGCCCUUGAUGAACGACAGAAAAUCUCACAUUCCAGGAAUUCAGAUGAAGUGAAGUGCUCUCAUGGGGACCAGGCAUGGUUAUGCCAGUCCACUGCCCUGCAAGCCUCAAGGGAAGCCAACUGCCCUUCAGCAAGUCACACCUGCCUUGGUGGAGGCCUUGAUUGGAAGUGCCACACGCUACAUGUCCAGUCCUGAGCGGGAGAAUCGGUGUAGGGACGUUCUGGGGAUGCCAGCUGUGGCCAGAUCAGGUCCAACUACAGAAGAAUAAUGAAGACUCCACCUGAGGGCUGGAAAAACAAAACCUCAAGUGUGAGGCAGCCAACCUGUUACCUCGAGGGACUGUUCCGCAGCACAGCGGGGCCAUGGGAACAGCAGCAGACACCCCGACCUCCUCGCUACCUGUGUGUGUAUUAACACGCCGGCCUCCUCGCUACCUAUCAACUAUGGCCUGA